UACGUAGGGGGCAAGCGUUAUCCGGAUUUACUGGGUGUAAAGGGGGCGCAGACGGCGAUGCAAGCCAGGAGUGAAAGCCCGGGGCCCAACCCCGGGACUGCUCUUGGAACUGCGUGGCUGGAGUGCAGGAGGGGCAGGCGGAAAUCCUGGUGUAGCGGUGAAAUGCGUAGAUAUCAGGAGGAACACCGGUGGCGAAGGCGGCCUGCCGGACUGCAACUGACGUUGAGGCCCGAAAGCGUGGGGAGCAAACAGG
rnacentral:rRNA from 1 species